CCCAGCUCCGCGACCUUCUGCUGCUGCCACUUGUCAAGGAUGACCUCACUUCUGCAGUGGCUCUGGAGAAACUCCGCGAAGCCACAGACGGUGUGAUGGAAACAGACUUCAGACGGGCUCAGCCAUCAGCAGUCAGACCUCGCUGGAGACUGGCAGCGGGCACUGGGGACCACGGCUGCCACAAAGUGAGGAAACGGGCCCCGGGCACUCAGUGGAAGCACACUGAUGCCUGAACCCUAACAGUGCUUUAAAAAAGUAUCGUGGGAGUUCCUGUCACUGCACCAGUCCUCGCCAUUAAACUCUAUUUCUUCAAAUAAACAGAUGGAAACCGCUGAGGUCUGAGGCCCUCUAUGGCGAGUUGUCACCUGAGUGUUAGUGCCGUGUGUAACGGGGACACCUGCCAUCCUUCUGAGUUGGGUCAGCUCUGUAGUUGCUGUGCCGCCUUCUGCCAGCAGGGGGCGGAGCUGCUUUAGGAGUCCAUAAGGUUAAGUGGCGCCCCUUUCCUGCCUGGCACUUCACUGCCACUCUGCCCUGUCUGUGCUAUGAAACAGAAACUGUGUGAGACCACCUCAACAAAUGGAGGCCCGACAGCGGCCCCUAAAUGGAAGAUUCCUGAGAAGUCCCAGGUGGCUUUCUUAGCUUCGAAAGUCUGCCUCUGGCUGCAUAUCUAUAUAAACAGUACUCCGAUUUCUGUACUCAAACAGCUCAGCAUUUGAGACUUGGCCAAGACCUGAAGAGUAAUGAAUCCAAGCGGAUUGCAGUUUUUUAAAAACUAAGAACCAGUCUAGGGUGUCUAUCACAGGUAAAUGCACUUUGUUAGUAGACCUGCUUUGCCCUUUUCAGUACUUGGAGACAUUGCAGUGACAACAAUAAAGCCAGCGGUGGCCAUCAGAUCUGACGUCCUGAUCCUGCGUGACAGCCGGCAGGCGGGGGCCGGCCGUUCCCCCUGCAGGGUCUGCAGCAAGGCCCUGAGACUUCAGCAGGUGCCGGCUGCACCAGCAAACGCCCCGUGCAGAUGAACUCCUCACCGGAGCAUCUGUAACGAUGCUGACCCUUCACGCCGCUUACCGUGCCUCCACCUUAGACAGAUCCCAGCUGCCAGCACCCACACGGCCACCAGCAGCGGCAGGAGGAGGAGAGGGAGCCAGCUUCCUAGCACGCUUCUGCCUGGAGAAAACAAGGCUUCCUCACCGUGGGCAAUACGCAAGCAUACUCAGCUCCUGUCUGAAAACUGAGAUGGUUUCUAACUCUGUGGAGGUUACAACCCCUUCCCAGCCAAGGUCUUUCAGGAGCCCGGCAACCCAUGUUUUUUCCCACAAUGCCCAGGUCUCUAAUCAGUUCUCAAAAGGGGCACAGGACCCCAGAAGUCAGGAGCAGUCCUCUGACAUCUCCCUGGCUUCCUACCCCUUAGCUGCACAGGCAUCUUCAAUGCGUAGCUGGGGUUUAUACUCGGGUAUUUGUUCUGGAGGAGUUAGUGCCACCCUUGGCUGUGAGUGCUUCCCUACACCGCUUGCAGAGACGGCAUUGUUAAGGGCUGGUCGGUUAGGCUGACACAGGUGGGGGAUGAUGCCACCGGCUCAUGGGAUCAGCAAGGAUAGGGACACUUGGGCCACUGAAUUGUCCCCGGGUAGCAUGGCUGAGAUUCUAAGAAUAGCAACUUGCAACUCUGGGCUGGUUCUGCAAUCAUCUGAUGUGUCCAUCUAUAUAAAGUAACUGACCCGUCUCUAAACCCAGAGAGAGAUUCAGAACAUGCUGCUCUCGGGGCCCCGGUGGGGUGUGUCUUUGGGGGCCAGGUUUCCUAAUUUGUUAACCAAAUGUGGGUGGUGUGGCCACAUCAUGUCACAGUCACAGCGCAGCCUGGGCAGCGGAGACUGACAAAAGGUCCCGGUGCGGUAGGUGCGUGUUCCCGCAGUCCUCUGUCCUCUUACAACACGACCUGUCUCUGGGGCUCUAGCACCUGUUCACACUGCUAGAUUCCCCACCCCCCACACCACCCCCCCAUCCUGCUGCGUGGAGGAUCAGGAGAGGUCUUAAAAAUGAAGCCGUCGCUUUCCCUCAAGCUUUCCCUGUCUCUGGGACAGCACUGCCAUCUUCCCCGGCACCCCAGUGGAGUGCACGCCCUCUCCUCACCCUCCACGCAGACACUAGUGGCCACCUAGUGACGGGAGCAGUGGCGCUGAGCCCUUCGUGUCCUGGUCCUCCUUGGUCAUCUGGUGAUGACCGGGCACUUACUGGUGUCUGGGAGGCUGGGGGUGUCUGGCUGUGGGCAAAGCACAACAGUUCCUUUGCGUCGGAUGCAGUCGUUGCCACAGGUGCGGAAAUACGGGGUCAGCUGAGGGAAGACGGGAGGCUCAGAGCAGGUCGCGGGGGCUCGGCGUGCCUCCUGCUUCCCUCAAAGCGCCCCUUCCAGCCCUGCCUCUUCCACCGCCAAGGACAUUUCCCCCUCGGUCACACUUCCGUGACAGUCUGCAAAGGCAAACCAGUGAGACCAGCACCGCUUCCAGGGCCCAGGGUCCGGAACCCAGACACGGUGCACGUGGCCGACGUGCUCGUUUGUUUAUCUUAGAGGGCUGGGCACAUCUGGCCACGGGCGAGUGAUUUUCCUAGGAAAACACCGCAGUGGUGCCUCUGUUGAUUCAGGCCAUGCCUUUAUGACACAGGGGUCCCUGGGACCAGGGAGGUUUGUGGGCUCCUGGAAAAUGGGUGCAGCCACGCUGACCUCUGGUGCAUGAGGGCACUGCCCUGGAGUUUCAGGGAGCCGGGAACAAAGGUUCCUUAUUGUGUGGCUGUGUCCCAGCUGGGUAGUCCGUGUUCCCGCAUCGUAGACUCAGAGUCCACAGAGACCUGAGAACAACCCUGGGCUCCCAGGACAGGCAGUUCUCCAAGUUCACACACUGAUCCGGAACCCACACCUUCCAAUUUCAAAUCCUUUGCCACCUUCACUUUGCAGUUAGAACUGUGGCUUGGGGAGCUAAAAGGGUGCUUCUGUCUCAGAAUUACUCUGAGGGUCUCUGACAGAAAAAGGAAAAGCAGGGGCCAGCAUUGUGGCCCAGCAGGUUAAGCCACCGCUGGCUAUGCCGACAUCCAGUAUGGUAGUGCUAGUUCAAGUCCCAGCUGCUCCACUUCCGAUUCAGUUCCUGCUGAAUGUGCCUGGAAAGGCGGGAGAUGAUGGGCCGAGUGCUUGGGCCCCUGCCACUCAUGUGGGAGACCCGGAUUGAGUUCCAGCCUCCUAGCUUUUGCCUGGGCCAGCCCUGGCCGUUUUAGGUAUGUGGGGAGUGAACCAGCAGUGGAAAAUCUGUCUCUCCCUCCCCGUCACUCUGCCUUUCAAAAAAUAAAAGUAAAAUAAACUAAAUGCCAGGAGAAGCACUUUGGAAAGUGGACAUUCAGUCCCAGGAGCAAGGCCAGCGCUUUCUGAGCUCAGCACCUUGGAGACUGCAGGGGGCAGCCCCCGGGAAGCUCCCAAGAUGCCGGCAGAAGCACGUCUGGCGGGAGGGAACUCGCUCCUCCUUGCAAGGACUCCUCAGAAGCCAUGAGCGGUGGAGGGCUUGGGGGAGUUGGUCUUUCAGUGUCUUCCCCCACCCCCAAUCUGGGGCCCUCGUUCCGUGUUACCUGAACCACGGCACCGUGGCUGUCGCCUCUCACUGGAACCUCCACCGACGUCCGUGUCAGCUUGUCCUGGUGCAGACAAGUGAGGGCGCAUCGGGAACGGGGAGCAGGUCAGAGGUGCAGGUGCAGAAGCUGCUCUCCCGAACGGACUUGCGAGCCGGGGAGCCUUUCCUAUUAGUGCAUCGUCUACCUCCCUUGGUUUUGGAUUCACAGUGGCAGAACCCAGGAUGCCCAUGAGGACUUGGAGUCAAAGUAGCCCCGCAGAGUUGGACAGCAAAAGACAGCCAGUUCAGGCUAUUGCCAGGUAUCGCGCUGUCCCUCAAUGUGAGGGGGCCGCAGGCGGAGGACGGGGGAGGGCCCCUGGGGGAGCGUACCUCCAGCACGGUGGAAAACCCAAUCACGGCGCCCUGACGCACAAGAGCCAUGUACUUGUUGCCAAGGAGACUCGUCGUAAACUUCACUUGGACUGUCGUCUCGUUCUUCUUACAGGCGGUGAUGUUGGGAUCCCACAGACUGCCUGUGAGUUCACAGAGAGUCCGGCCGAUGGACCUGCCCACCCGCCCCUCACCUGAGACCCCACAGGAGCCUCACGGAAGCAAAGCAGCAUUCUCAGACACACAUCCAAGAGAGAACCACCUGGCUGCUGCCGCACGGGCUGCUGCUUUUUAAGCACUGCUCACUGAGUCGCCAAGUACCUUUUGCUGUCCAAGAAAACCUGGGGACCCCCACGCCAUUACUUUGCUCAGAAUAGCUUCCUCGGGCCAAGGGUGGCACGAGGCACACAUCAGGUCCCGUUGCUCACUUGUGUCAGGCUUGGUGUAGGGCGGAGCCCACUGCCGUCCCUCCCGCAGCGUGGGGAGGAGGAGCCACAGGCUAGGAGAGCUGCCCCAGGUCAGGAGCCAGGGAACCAGGACCAGGGCGACAGGCGCUAGAACAUUCUGCACUGCAGGUGGGUCGUCCAUCCAGCCCUCCUGCCCCAGUUUCGCAGGAUGCAGAGAAUGAAAGCAGUGCCCCCAGCCUAGAGGCUGCCCCACAGGUCGGGUCUGCGGAAAGAGGCAGCUGUACACUGAUGUGACUUGCAAACGAGGGCCGGGGAAGCGACCAGGAAGCCCAGACAGAACAGCGUGUGUUAUCUCACGCCCUGCUCAGACCCGGUCCUAGUAAAGAGUGCAAAGCCAGGACUGACAUGGAGGCCCUCCGGACUCCCCAGGUCUCUGUGGCAGGCAAGAGAGGAAGUGCGGUGCCUGGAGUCUGACCCAGUCUGACAGGUUUGUGUGGGCCAAGGAUGCCUAAAGCAUGGGCCUGCCCCUCUGAACACCGCAGCAUCCAAGCUACUGCUCAGAAAUUUACAUCAUGGGGCUGGCGCCUUUGGUACUGCUAUCCCACGUGGGUGCCGUUCGAAUUCCAGCUGCUCUGCUUCUGAGCUAACUCCCUGCUAAUGCGCCUGGGAAAGCAGCAGAGGAUGGCUCAAGUGCUUGGGCCUCUGCACCCACAUGGGAGACCCAGAUGAAGCUCCUGGCUGCUGGCUUCAGCCUGCACCAGCUCUGGCUGUUGCAGCCAUUUGGGGAGUGAACCAGCAGAUGGAAGAUUCUCUCCGUCUCCCUUGCCUUCCCCCCCACCCUGUAACUGCCUUCCAGAUAAAUAAAUUUAAUUUUUUUUAAUUUGUAUCAGGUAGUAAGUACUCACUGUCCUAAAGUGGCUUGUUUUUUUCUUGUAAUGAAACAGUACUUUUUCUUUGAUGAUUAUUUUUAUUUAUUUGGGAGGCAUAGAGAGAGGGAGAGAGAUGGAGAGAGAGAUAUCUUCUGUCCUCUGGUCACUCCCCCCAAAUGCCUGCCUUGGCCCAGGCUGGGCCAAGCUGAAGCCAGGAGGCCAAGGCUGUAUGUGAGUCUCGAGCAGGGGAGGCAGAAACCCAAGUACCUGACCCAUCACCUGCUGCCUCCCUGGUACAUUAGCAGGAAGCUGGAUCAGAAGUGGAGGCGGACUCCCUCCCAGGCAUUCUGACACGAGCAUCUCAAGUGGUGGCUUAACCUAUUGGGCCACAUUGCCCACCCCUAAAGGCUCUUAUUAAAAAAGUAAUGUGUGGUGGGCAUUUGGUACAGCAGGUGAAGCCAGUGCAUGGGACUCCCAGGGGAUCCCAUACUGGAUCCCCUGGCCUUGGGUCAGCUUCCUGUUGACAUGCUCCUGGAAGGCAGCAGGUGAUGACUCAAGUACUUGGGUCCCUGCCUCCCACAUGGGAGACCCAGAUUGAGUUCAGGGCUACUGGCUUUGGCCUGAUCCAGUCCUAGCUUUUGUGUGCAUUUGGGGAGUGAGCCAGCAUUCGGGAGAUCUCUGUCUCUAUGUCUUCUCUCUCAGCCUUUCAAAUAAUAAAAAAAAAAAAAAAAAUCCGAGGGGUAGGGAGUAGCUUUAUUGAUUGAUUGAUUUGAAAGGCAGAAUUACAGAGGGAGAGGCAAAUGCAGAGAGAAAGAGAAUGAAUCAUCUUCCAUUUGCUGGUUCACUUCCCAAAUGGCUGUAAUGGCCAUGGCUGGGCCAGGCCGAAGCCAGGAGCCAGGAGCUUCAUCCCGGUCUCCCGCAUGGGUUCAGGGGCCCAAAGACUUGGGCCAUCUCUUGCUGUUUUCCCAGGCGCAUCAACGGGGAGCUGGAUUGGAAGUGGAGCAGCCAGGACUUGAACUCAUGUGGGAUGCCAGUGCUGCGCUUUACCUGCCAUGCCACAGUGCCUGUCCAGGAGUGGCAUGUGAGAGGUGAGCCCCUUUGAGGACACCAGUUGGAAUCUUGCCUCUAGGUUACAGCUUUGCUAACAUACCCGGCUAGAAUGUUUGCUAACAUACCCGGCUAGAAUGUUUGCUAAUCCAAACAUACGGUACCCAAGGCCCCGCGGCCACAGGUCAGGGGUGCCGGUGUCUGAGCAGGUGAAAGGGCUUCCAGGACUCCAUCCAAUCAGGAAGGGCUGCUGGCCCGUGCCACUGUAAGUGUGGUUUUGGCUAAAACGCCAGUAACCGAGGGGGUGGGGCUAAUUUCCUGGGACCGUUGUUCUACUACAUAAACCUAGAGGUCCCUGCACUGGCUGCUGGACUCUGUGGCUCGUGUCCAGGAGCCCUGGGUGCUUCCGCUCAUCCUCUGAGCAACCAGAAUGCAUCACUCCCCACCUAGGCCUCAGUUACAUCACCUGUAAAAAGAUGGAUGGAGCUGGGCAGGCUCAAGCUAGGAGCGUCUUCAAAUAACAAACACUACCUUGACUUACCUGCCUCGAUGCACUUCUUUUUAUAUUUCAUGAUGUGGUCUAGGCAGCCUGGAAAUUUGAAUGCAAAGUUUUUACGUUUUAGAGAAAGGUGUACCUGCCCCUUUGCCAACAGGUACGCACACACACGAUACGCGUAUCACCGCUGUAACAAAUUGCCAAAGCACUCCAGAUGCAAGGUAGCCAACCUGAAACAUCUUACUGUUAAAGUGCAAAUCUUCUGCCCAGGCAGUCAAUUUCAGUACAACCUUCACCACAACAGGAUGUGUGAUCCCCGAGAGAAGACUUCAAACCAACUGUCCUUUAACAAUGAGCUUUGCUCCUGUGAGUACUGCUCCUUCCAGUGGAGCUUAAUCUACCUCUGCCCCCCACCUCAAGGUGGAAUGGGCUUGGUGACUUGUUUCCUAAGCUAGAGUUGGGAAAGGCACCUGCUGUUAAGAGAUGACAUGUGAUGGAGGCGAGCCUGUCUGGUGGGGUCCUGUGGAAGCCAUGCACCCUGAUGGGGUGUGAAAGACCCAAUACAUCUCUGGUGUUCUUCCCAAACCCGCAUCCCCUUUCCAACCUUCAGAAAAACAUCAAACCCAAAACUGGGUAAGAAGAUGCCUGGCUAGCACUUGUGCCUGUCAAGGUCAUGAGAAACAGACCAAGACGCUGGGACAGGCCAGAGGAGACUGGGGCAACACCGGGGACUCCAGACAACAGAAAGAAGACAUUCGUGGAAAAGCAGGUGAAGUGCAAAUCAGGUCUGGAGUUUAGUGAACAGGGCCUCCCUGACAAGCACAUCACGGCCGUGGGGGACAUUAACGCAGGAGAAACCGAGCAGGAGGUAAACUGGAGCUCCAUGCUGCCUUUGCAACUUUCCCAUAAAUCUAAGAGUAUUCCAAAUUUUUUUAAAAGUUUUAAAUGAGAAAAGCUGGAAAGAAAUGACUGUGUAAUAAAUGAUAAAUUGCCAAAACACA